UACGUAGGUGGCGAGCGUUGUCCGGAAUUACUGGGUGUAAAGGGCGUGUAGGCGGGACAUUAAGUCAGAUGUGAAAUUCCAGGGCUCAACCCUGGGGCUGCAUCUGAAACUGAAGUUCUUGAGUGUCGGAGAGGAAAGCGGAAUUCCUAGUGUAGCGGUGAAAUGCGUAGAUAUUAGGAGGAACACCAGUGGCGAAGGCGGCUUUCUGGACGAUAACUGACGCUGAGGCGCGAAAGCGUGGGGAGCAAACAGG
rnacentral:rRNA from 1 species